rnacentral:lncRNA from 1 species
GCUCCACUAGGUGCUGCUGCCGCGGCCGCCAGGGAGGGAGGUGUCGGAGGGCGGGCCCCGCGCGGUGCUAGGGUUCCGUCUGGACUGGCGGUGGUGGGUCCCAACCGGCGGUACCGGGUUCCUUCCCGACCAGCGGUGCUAGGUUCGGUUCGGACGCGCGCUGCUGGAUCUAAAUGGGCAGUGCUGGGUCCGAUGGGUGGUGCUGUGUUGGGUCCGGACGCGCGGUGCAGAGUCCGGACGGGCGGUGCUGGAUCCAAAUGGGCGGUGCUGGAUCUGGACGGGCGGUGAUGGGUCCGAUGGGCGGUGCUAUGUUCGGUUCGGACGGGCGGUGCUAGGUCUAAAUGGGCGCUGCUGGGUCCGAUGGGCGGUGCUGCGUUCGGUCCGGACGGGCGGGGACGGGCGGUGCUGGGUCCAAAUGGGUGGUGAUGGAUCUGUGGACGGGCGGUGCUGGUUCCAGACGGGCGGUGCUGGGUCCAGACGGGCGGUGGGUCCGAUGGGCGGUGCUAGGUUCGGUUCGGAUGGGUGGUGCUAGGUCUAAAUGGGCGGCGCCGGAUCCGAUGGGCGGUGCUGGGUUCGGUCCGGACUGGCGGGUCCGGGUCUGGACGGGCGGUGCUGGAUCCAAAUGGGGGUGCAGUGCUGGAUCUGGACGGGCGGUGCUGGGUCCGAACGGGCGAUGGGUCCCAUGGGCGGUGCUAGGUUCGGUUCGGACUGGCGGUGCUGGGUCUAAAUGGGCGGCGCUGGGUCCGAUGGGUGGUACUGGGUCCGGACGGGCGGUUCUGGGUCUGGACGGGCGGUGCAGUAUCCAAAUGGGCGCUGCUGGGUCCGGACGGGCGGUGCUAGGUUCGGUCCGGACGGGUGGUGCUGGGUCUAAAUGGGCGGUGCUAGGCUCAGCAGGGGACCGGUGGGCGUGGCGGCACAGGUACGGAGCGCAGGGCCGGUGGAGCGCCCUCUCCGAAGGGCCCUGCGCUCCCCGCGCUCGCUGCUCCUCCUGCCCGCGCAUUGCCCCGGGGCUGCUGCGUGUUUCUUCCAGGGUGAUUCCUUUCCGCUGGGUCACUUCAAAGCCGACCUUUUCAAGCUGUUUUCUUCCGCGGAGGACACGUUGUUAGGCUUUGUGUGCAUUUCAAGGGUCAUGUUUUCUGAACCGCGCUCUGCCGCUCUUGGGGUGUUCGAGCCCCCACACUGCUGUGCGGUGUUCCUCUCACAGAGUGAGGUUGGAGGGUCCCACUCCCUUUGUGUGUCUCCUUAGAAAACGCCUCUUCUCUCAGACACAUCGUUAUCUGCCAAUUCUUCGCAGACGUAGAGAACGGACUGCAGAGUUAAUAAACGUCGAGGGGAAGCUUUGAUGCGCCCCAUUUGGCCCUGAGAGAUGCCACGUGAUCGUCAUUUUAAAUCCUUUCCUGGGCUUCCCGAUGGACUCGAGUUUUUACUAUGUGAGCAUCCCGGUGCCUGCACAGCAAGGACUCUCAUUGGGUUCCACACGUGCUGCGCAGAUCCCUGACGCAGCGUUCACUGAACCUCAACUGCAGGAGCUUCAUUCCUGAGGACGCUGUUACCAAGAAUGACUUGCCUCUUGAAGAAUGAGUUUGCAAAGCCGGCAGUUAGAUUGCUGAUGUCCAAAGUAAGUAUGUGUAGCAUCACUAAAGAGAAAAUUCAGGAUUCCUGGAAAACAGUUAUGGGCUCUCUGCAGUGUUAUUUUUGUAAUAAAAAACAUAUAGCAUAUGUGAAAUACCUACUGGGUGAUGCAGGACACAUAGAAGGCUCGAAAUUAAUGUGAAUCAUUCUCGUUUUUCUGACUGUCAUUAAAAGUCCCCAUUUGUAUUAUGUAUGAGUGGUAUAUCAAUAUCUAAACUACACUUUAUUGUAGGUCCCAACCAACAUUAGUUUAUUGACAAAUGUUUAAGAGCAGCCAAAAAUUCAUAGAAUACCUAUGAUUCUUAAAUCAUGAACACUCCCAUAACUGGUAUAUGUUUAGGACAUGAAAAUUUCCAGGCUGACAAAUAAUUUCGCUGUCAUCGGUCAAGACUCCAGGAUGAUAUUCUGAGCCAUAUGUUAAUUUUGAUAACCACCUAGAACAAUAAAAGGUAAACAUGCUACCAUCUUCUAUUCUCAUUGCACCACUGGAUUCUGGUACAUCUAAAAAUUGUACUUAAAUGAUAUCCAAGAAAUGCUGUAAAAAACAAAAUAGGGCCGGGCGCAGUGGCUCACACCUGUAAUCCCAGCAUUUUGGGAGGCCAAGGCGGGCAGAUCACGAGGUCAGGAGAUCAAGACCAUCCUGGCUAACACGGUGAAACCCCGUCUCUACUAAAAAUAC